rnacentral:tRNA from 1 species
GGUGGGUUGGCUCAGUGGGUAGAGCUAAGGGCUUGCAACCGGGAGGUUGGGGUUCGAAUCUCGCAAGAGGCG